CGUACACUCCUACGGGAGGCAGCAGUGGUGAAUAUUGGACAAUGGGCGCAAGCCUGAUCCAGCCAUGCCGCGUGAGUGAUGAAGGCCCUAGGGUUGUAAAGCUCUUUCACCGGUGAAGAUAAUGACGGUAACCGGAGAAGAAGCCCCGGCUAACUUCGUGCCAGCAGCCGCGGUAAUACGAAGGGGGCUAGCGUUGUUCGGAUUUACUGGGCGUAAAGCGCACGUAGGCGGACUAUUAAGUCAGGGGUGAAAUCCCGGGGCUCAACCCCGGAACUGCCUUUGAUACUGGUAGUCUUGAGUUCGAGAGAGGUGAGUGGAAUUCCGGGUGUAGAGGUGAAAUUCGUAGAUAUUCGGAGGAACACCAGUGGCGAAGGCGGCUCACUGGCUCGAUACUGACGCUGAGGUGCGAAAGCGUGGGGAGCAAACAGGAUUAGAAACCCUUGUAGUCCCAUGA
rnacentral:rRNA from 1 species